rnacentral:rRNA from 1 species
ACAUAAGACAUGCAAGUCGAACGGAAGUACGUUGUAAUGAUGUGGACAUGAACGGAGAACUUGUUCAAGAGAGUGAAAAUUGACUUACAACAAUGGCUUAGUGGCGGACUGGUGAGUAAUGUAUAAGUAACCUGCCUAUCAGAGGGGAACGAACAGUUGGAAACGACUGCUAAUACCGCAUAUGCCAUAAGGGAGACAUCUCCCAAGUGGGAAAGGAGCAAUCCGCUGAUAGAUGGACUUAUAUCUGAUUAGCUAGUUGGUGUGGUAACGGCAUACCAAGGCGACGAUCAGUAGCCGGACUGAGAGGUUAAACGGCCACAUUGGGACUGAGAUACGGCCCAGACUCCUACGGGAGGCAGCAGUCGGGAAUAUUGCGCAAUGGAGGAAACUCUGACGCCAGUGACGCCGCGGUGCAGGAAGAAGGUUUUCGGAUUGUAAACUGCUUUAGACAGGGAAGAAAAAGGACAGUACCUGUAGAAUAAGCUCCGGCUAACUACGUGCCAGCAGCAGC